UUCCAGACUCCUACGGGAGGCAGCAGUGGGGAAUAUUGCACAAUGGGGGGAACCCUGAUGCAGCGACGCCGCGUGGGUGAAGGAGCACCUCGGUGCGUAAAGCCCUAUCGGCAGGGAAGAAAAGCGAACAGGUUCGCCUGGACGGUACCUGACUAAGAAGCCCCGGCUAACUACGUGCCAGCAGCCGCGGUAAUACGUAGGGGGCGAGCGUUAUCCGGAUUCACUGGGUGUAAAGGGAGCGUAGACGGCAGAGCAAGUCUGAAGUGAAAGCCCGCGGCCCAACUGCGGGACUGCUUUGGAAACUGCCCGGCUAGAGUGCUGGAGAGGUAAGCGGAAUUCCUAGUGUAGCGGUGAAAUGCGUAGAUAUUAGGAGGAACACCAGUGGCGAAGGCGGCUUACUGGACAGUAACUGACGUUGAGGCUCGAAAGCGUGGGGAGCAAACAGGAUUAGAUACCCCAGUAAAU
rnacentral:rRNA from 1 species